AUCCAACAACUAUUUAUUGAGAACAUAUC
rnacentral:piRNA from 2 species